UACGUAGGUGGCAAGCGUUGUCCGGAAUUAUUGGGCGUAAAGCGCGCGCAGGCGGUCCUUUAAGUCUGAUGUGAAAGCCCACGGCUCAACCGUGGAGGGUCAUUGGAAACUGGGGGACUUGAGUGCAGGAGAGAAGAGUGGAAUUCCACGUGUAGCGGUGAAAUGCGUAGAGAUGUGGAGGAACACCAGUGGCGAAGGCGACUCACUGGGACGGUACUGACGCUGAGACGCGAAAGCGUGGGGAGCAAACAGG
rnacentral:rRNA from 1 species